UGGAAAAGGGAAUUCUCAUUCCUCAGAAGCUGGACUUGCCCAAGGAGGGAGGAGGAGGAGGAGUGGGAAUGAUGCAGCAGCCGGAGCUGUUGCAGCCUGGAAUUGGGAAAUUGGAGCAGCAGCCACGCCUGGGGCAUGGAGAAGGUUGGCUCCGGGAAGCAGGAACACGCUCGGGAAGGGCUCCAGGAAAGGAGAAUCCCUCCCCAGGAGAAGCCGGAGCAGCUCCUGCCAUUCCCGGGAAGGAGAAGACGCCUUUGGAUGCCGGGAUGAAAAUUCCAGCCCCCGGGAAGGCGCAGGAAGGAGCCGGGAGAAGGAAGGAAGGAGAGCCGGGAAUUCUCCCCCCGCCUGAAAUUUCGCUCCUGGGAAGGACAGAAUAAAUGAUCCAUAAAAUUUCCAUGGGAUACGUCUCCCGCGGCCGGGCAGGCGGUGCCUCUGGAGCUCACUAAAUAUUUUAAUUUUGCCGUGAA